AUUCCAUGCUGUGGGCAUUUCCUCAUCAUCUCCUUAUACCUCUCCCAAGUAUCGUAUGAGGUUUCAGACUCUAUUUGUAAGAAGGAUGAAAUGUCACUUCUUAAUU